rnacentral:misc_RNA from 1 species
AGCAGCCGCGGUAAUUCCAGCUCCAAUAGCGUAUAUUAAAGUUGUUGCAGUUAAAAAGCUCGUAGUUGAAUUUCGGGAUCAAUUCGUCGGUCGUGCUUUUUGGUACGUACUGGCGUUAUUGGUUUCUCCUUUCUGACGAACCAUGAUGUCAUUAAUUUGGUGUUAUGGGGGGUUAGGACUGUUACUUUGAAAAAAUUAGAGUGUUUAAAGCAGGCAUUAGCUUGAAUACAUUAGCAUGGAAUAAUGAAAUAGGACGUUCGAACCUAUUUUGUUGGUUUCUAGGAUCAACGUAAUGAUUAAUAGGGAUAGUUGGGGGCAUUAGUAUUCAAUUGUCAGAGGUGAAAUUCUUGGAUUUAUUGAAGACUAACUACUGCGAAAGCAUUUGCCAAGGAUGGUUUCAUUAAUCAAGAACGAAAGUUAGGGGAUCGAAGA